rnacentral:rRNA from 1 species
UGGGGAAUAUUGGACAAUGGGCGAAAGCCUGAUCCAGCCAUGCCGCGUGAGUGAUGAAGGCCUUAGGGUUGUAAAGCUCUUUUAGCAGGGAAGAUAAUGACGGUACCUGCAGAAAAAGCCCCGGCUAACUUCGUGCCAGCAGCCGCGGUAAUACGAAGGGGGCUAGCGUUGCUCGGAAUUACUGGGCGUAAAGCGCACGUAGGCGGACUCUUAAGUCGGUGGUGAAAUCCUGGAGCUCAACUCCAGAACUGCCUUCGAUACUGGGAGCCUUGAGUUCGGGAGAGGUGAGUGGAACUGCGAGUGUAGAGGUGAAAUUCGUAGAUAUUCGCAAGAACACCAGUGGCGAGGGCGGCUCACUGGCCCGAUACUGACGCUGAGGUGCGAAAGCGUGGGGAGCAAACA